rnacentral:rRNA from 1 species
GACCUUGCGAAAGUAAGACUAAUACCCAAUGAUAUCUCUAGAAGACAUCUGAAAGAGAUUAAAGAUUUAUCGGUGAUGGAUGGGGAUGCGUCUGAUUAGCUUGUUGGCGGGGUAACGGCCCACCAAGGCAACGAUCAGUAGGGGUUCUGAGAGGAAGGUCCCCCACAUUGGAACUGAGACACGGUCCAAACUCCUACGGGAGGCAGCAGUGAGGAAUAUUGGUCAAUGGACGAGAGUCUGAACCAGCCAAGUAGCGUGCAGGAUGACGGCCCUAUGGGUUGUAAACUGCUUUUAUAAGGGAAUAAAGUGAGCCUCGUGAGGCUUUUUGCAUGUACCUUAUGAAUAAGGACCGGCUAAUUCCGUGCCAGCAGCCGCGGUAAUACGGAAGGUCCGGGCGUUAUCCGGAUUUAUUGGGUUUAAAGGGAGCGUAGGCCGGAGAUUAAGCGUGUUGUGAAAUGUAGACGCUCAACGUCUGCACUGCAGCGCGAACUGGUUUCCUUGAGUACGCACAAAGUGGGCGGAAUUCGUGGUGUAGCGGUGAAAUGCUUAGAUAUCACGAAGAACUCCGAUUGCGAAGGCAGCUCACUGGAGCGCAACUGACGCUGAAGCUCGAAAGUGCGGGUAUCGAACAGGAUUAGAUACCCUGGUAGUCCGCACGGUAAACGAUGGAUGCCCGCUGUUGGUCUGAAUAGGUCAGCGGCCAAGCGA